UACGUAGGGUGCGAGCGUUGUCCGGAAUUAUUGGGCGUAAAGAGCUCGUAGGCGGUCUGUCGCGUCGAUCGUGAAAACUUGGGGCUUAACCCUGAGCUUGCGGUCGAUACGGGCAUGACUGGAGUUCGGCAGGGGAGACUGGAAUUCCUGGUGUAGCGGUGAAAUGCGCAGAUAUCAGGAGGAACACCGGUGGCGAAGGCAGGAUCUCUGG
rnacentral:rRNA from 1 species